AGCAGCCGCGGUAAUUCCAGCUCCAAUAGCGUAUAUUAAAGUUGUUGCAGUUAAAAAGCUCGUAGUUGAACUUCGGGAUCAAUUGAUUGGUCGUGCCCUGGGUACGUACUGGUCCUAUUGGUUCUCACCUUCUAAUGAACCAUAAUGUCAUUCAUUUGAUGUUAUGGGGAAUUAGGACUGUUACCUUGAAAAAAUUAGAGUGUUUAAAGCAGGCUAACGCUUGAAUACAUUAGCAUGGAAUAAUGAAAUAGGACAUCGCAUUCUAUUUUGUUGGUUUCUAGGAUCGAUGUAAUGAUUAAUAGGGAUAGUUGGGGGCAUUAGUAUUCAAUUGUCAGAGGUGAAAUUCUUGGAUUUAUUGAAGACUAACUACUGCGAAAGCAUUUGCCAAGGAUGUUUUCAUUAGUCAAGAACGAAAGUUAGGGGAUCGAAGACGAUCAGAUACCGUCGUAG
rnacentral:rRNA from 1 species